rnacentral:rRNA from 1 species
UUUUAGUUCNACCUAAAGUAACUNNUUAUUNUCUAAUAAUUAUUCUNNNCCCCUACUUUAGAGUUAAUCAAAUGAGGUACAGCCCAUUUGACAUAGGAUACAACCUUUACUAACGGGUNNAAACCCCCCCCACACCUUAAAGUAGGCCUAAGAGCAGCCACCUUUUAAAAAGCGUCAAAGCUUAANNNCCUUGUGUNAUACUAAUUCAAAAACCCACAUUAACCCCUUUAACCAUAUUGAGAACUUCUAUAACCCUAUAGAACCUUUUAUGCUAAAACUAGUAACAAGAGAAAACCNNNCUCUCCCAAUGCAAACAUAAGCCAGCAAGAACCUAUCACUGGCAAUUAACAGNCCUUAAAUAAAAGUAGCAACUUCACUAGAAAACCCUACUCCUNCCGACUGUUAACCUAACACUAGAGCAUUUCAAGAAAGAUUAAAAGAAAAAGAAGGAACUCGGCAAACUCCAGUCCCGCCUGUUUACCAAAAACAUCGCCUCUUGCUUNCCCAUAAGAGGUCUAACCUGCCCAGUGACCCUGUUCAACGGCCGCGGUAUCCUAACCGUGCGAAGGUAGCGUAAUCACUUGUUUUCCAAAUAAAGACCUGUAUGAAAGGUAAAACGAGGACUAAGCUGUCUCCUUUUUUUAAUCAGUGAACCUAAUCUCCCCGUGAAGAAGCGGGGAUCUUAACAUAAGACGAGAAGA